GACGUAGGGCGCGAGCGUUGUCCGGAUUUAUUGGGCGUAAAGAGCUCGUAGGCGGCUUGUCGCGUCGUCCGUGAAAACCUGCGGCUCAACUGCAGGCUGGCGGUCGAUACGGGCAGGCUGGAGUUCGGUAGGGGAGACUGGAAUUCCUGGUGUAGCGGUGAAAUGCGCAGAUAUCAGGAGGAACACCGGUGGCGAAGGCGGGUCUCUGGGCCGAUAUUGACGCUGAGGAGCGAAAGCCAGGGGAGCAAACGGG
rnacentral:rRNA from 1 species